rnacentral:misc_RNA from 1 species
UGGGUUUGACAUCACCCGGAAAGCCUUGGAGACAAGGCCCUCUUCGGACUGGGUGACAGGUGGUGCAUGGCUGUCGUCAGCUCGUGUCGUGAGAUGUUGGGUUAAGUCCCGCAACGAGCGCAACCCUUAUCCUGUGUUGCCAGCAAGUGGUGUUGGGGACUCGCGGGAGACUGCCGGGGUUAACUCGGAGGAAGGUGGGGAUGACGUAGAACGGUUGGUU